CAUGAUUAAACAAUGACAUUGAAUCGGGAAAUGACAAUCACUACUAGAUAGGCUUAGUAGUUUGAUUACUUUGACAUGCUUAUAGCAUAGUGUUGGGACUUGUAGUAUACAUGAUAGUCUUAUUUGUUGCAUCAUAGUAUACUUGGCUGCCAUGAUAGAGCAUAUUCAUCAUACAUUGAUAUAGUGGAUCAUGAUACCUACUUGCUCGUUAUGUUUGGACAUAUUAGUCAUGCUUGGACAUUCUUCAUUUUGAUAAAGUAAAUAUACAACACAUUGACAUCAUAUUUAUUUGCGACAUAGUAGCUUAGCAUUUUAAUUAUGCUUUUAUAAAUGCAAUCUAUUUAUUAUUAUUGUUGCUUUUUGGACUUACCCUUUUCUUUUGGGGCCUAGUGGUGCAUUGAGCUGAGGUCAGUAAUUGCCCACUGGGAACUAUAAAUUAUAGUUCUCACGCCCUCUGUUUCAUGUUUUUAUUUCAGAGCCUUCCACGCCGGGAGAGGCUAGGGACCGCGGAAAGGGUAUCGCCUCGAGCUAGCUUGCUAUCGAGGGAUGCGUUGAUAGGUGG
rnacentral:lncRNA from 1 species